AGUCGAACGAUGAACCCACUUCGGUGGGGGAUUAGUGGCGAACGGGUGAGUAACACGUGGGCAAUCUGCCCUUGCACUCUGGGACAAGCCCUGGAAACGGGGUCUAAUACCGGAUACGACCACUGAGGGCAUCUUCGGUGGUGGAAAGCUCCGGCGGUGAAGGAUGAGCCCGCGGCCUAUCAGCUUGUUGGUGGGGUAAUGGCCUACCAAGGCGACGACGGGUAGCCGGCCUGAGAGGGCGACCGGCCACACUGGGACUGAGACACGGCCCAGACUCCUACGGGAGGCAGCAGUGGGGAAUAUUGCACAAUGGGCGAAAGCCUGAUGCAGCGACGCCGCGUGAGGGAUGACGGCCUUCGGGUUGUAAACCUCUUUCAGCAGGGAAGAAGCGAAAGUGACGGUACCUGCAGAAGAAGCGCCGGCUAACUACGUGCCAGCAGCCGCGGUAAUACGUAGGGCGCAAGCGUUGUCCGGAAUUAUUGGGCGUAAAGAGCUCGUAGGCGGCUUGUCGCGUCGGAUGUGAAAGCCCGGGGCUUAACCCCGGGUCUGCAUUCGAUACGGGCAGGCUAGAGUGUGGUAGGGGAGAUCGGAAUUCCUGGUGUAGCGGUGAAAUGCGCAGAUAUCAGGAGGAACACCGGUGGCGAAGGCGGAUCUCUGGGCCAUUACUGACGCUGAGGAGCGAAAGCGUGGGGAGCGAACAGGAUUAGAUACCCUGGUAGUCCACGCCGUAAACGUUGGGAACUAGGUGUUGGCGACAUUCCACGUCGUCGGUGCCGCAGCUAACGCAUUAAGUUCCCCGCCUGGGGAGUACGGCCGCAAGGC
rnacentral:rRNA from 1 species